CCUACGGGCGGCUGCAGUGGGGAAUAUUGGACAAUGGGGGGAACCCUGAUCCAGCGACGCCGCGUGAGUGAAGAAGGAUUUCGGGAUGUAAAGCUCUAUCAGCAGGGAAGAAAAUGACGGUACCUGACUAAGAAGCCACGGCUAACUACGUGCCAGCAGCCGCGGUAAUACGUAGGGGGCAAGCGUUAUCCGGAUUUACUGGGUGUAAAGGGAGCGUAGACGGUGACGCCAGUCUGAUGUGAAAGGUCGGGGCCCAACCCCGGGACUGCAUGGGAAACUGUUGAACUGGAGUACAGGAGAGGUAAGCCGAAUUCCUAGUGUAGCGGUGAACUGCGUAGAUAUUAGGAGGAACACCAGUUGCGAAGGCGGCUUACUGGACUGUAACUGACGUUGAGGCUCGAAAGCGUGGGGAGCAAACAGGAUUAGAUACCCUUGUAGUC
rnacentral:rRNA from 1 species